GGCCGCCUAUGAAAUUUACAUGUGCGCCUGGCUCCUGAGACCUGUGACUUCUUUACUGUAAAUCAAAAUUAGGCUUUUUUAAACGGUAGAUGACUACAUACUCAUACUUGACCUCCCUCCCUCCUCCGCCACUCCAUAUUUUGUCUGGUCACCUAAGAUUGUGAUAACCAAUUCAAUUGGCUACAGAGGAGGGUUAAGAAAGAAAACCGGAAGAAAUGUUGAUUAGGAAAAUAAGUUACAGAGGGAAAAGUAGCAGCAGCUUCUUGACGCCACAAGAAUCUCACCAAAGAUCUCCUGACCCGUGAGAUAGAGCCUUACUAAUUAAGACGCUUCCAGUUGGAAAAGGUUCCUGAUGUCUAAACAUUUCACAGUGUUGUAGAAUUAUGAAAAGAUCCAAUUGCCAAGAGGAUGCGGGCAAAGCUGAACAUACGUGUGAACCGGGGCUGUAAUGCUGGCUGCCAAACCUGUCACACUCUGGCAAUAAGGAGCAACAGUUGGAUGAGGACCAGGGCUACACCGACAUCUGACCACCUCUGCGGUCUGGGCUGAUUCCAAAAAUUCCCUGGGAAGAAAGUGGCAUGCAAGAAUAUCAAAGUUGGGAACUGCUUCCACACCUGCCCCCGUUAUUCACCCUCACCAAGUUCAUCAUGCUUUCUUCCACUUCAAAGCCUUUGCACUAGCAGUCCUCCCUGACCUCAGACUUGACCCCCAAGGGUAAGUAAUGAAGCGUGCUGUGAAUCUUACCAGGAACUUCAGCACCCUGGAAGUGCUUUGGCUUGCUCCUCUGUUGCCCCCAGCCCAGAUUUUCUGCCCGCACGCAUCCUUAGGGAAUGUUUUUUUCCUCUGAUCCCUUGAGUCAGGGGCUCUUUCUGCAACCCUCAGCCUGUACCUGAGCCUUAGUGCUGGCGGAGAAGCCACACCACCCUGGGAACGGGCCCUGCAGAGACACUGGGCAGCUGGAGUUCUGAGUUCUUACAGAAGAACAGGGGAGUAGAGAGAAGAGGCACAGAAACAGAGAAACAAGGAAAGAAGGAAGAAAAAGAAUGGCUUCUGGAGACAAGUAUUUCCUUUUCACACUUCUGAUGACCCUAAGGUGGCCCUUAAAUAGCCAUCUAGGAGGAGCCCGGAGGGGUUUGCAGAAGCGGGGCUGGGCGGGGGGUUGGGGUGUUGUGUGUGCCAGGGCAGGGGGCAUGUAAUGGGCAGCUCCACCCCACUCCAUGGGGACGGAUAGUGAAGGCUUUCUCCCGAACCCAAAGAAGCUGCGUUUUCAUCUGAAGCUGUUUCCUUAUUGGAGCUCAGUGGGAAGAAACACACAGUAAAAGCGUUUAGCAACUGUAUAUGCCCUGGGCGCGGUCCAGGUCGUAGCCAUUCUUUCUCCCUCGAAGAAACGACUAAACCUUUAUGACUGCGGCGGCUCUCCCUCUCCCUGACCACCUCCCACCUUCCCGCAGUCCUGUGAGGGUUCCCAUAUGCCUCCUCCUCCCUUUCCCCACCCUCACGUCCGGUCUUGGCCCCGACAUUUUCCUGAUCUCUCUCCUAUGGCAGCCUCCACCCAGACCCCCAGCUUCAGGCCUCCUUCCCUCCCCUCCUCCAAAAGUUUGGCUCCAGGUCAUGGGCUGACCACCCUUCCCAGCCCCAAGUCCUGGGUGGCUCCCAGGGCCUAAAGGUUCAAGUCCAAACUCCCUAGCGUGAAAUCGAAGUCAGGCUUCAGUUUGCCCUCCUGGGCCUGUCUGCCCCACUCCCGUCCUCCUUUUAUCAUGGCCAAGUGCAUCAAGCGCGCUCACAUGGCUGGGCUGUAACCCACGCUGCUCCCCGUCUCUGCUGCAAAGCCUCUUGGAGAUGGACGCAGAUGUUAGCUCAGCUGUAAAGCCGCCCUCUCCCCACACCCUCACCACCCCAAACAGCCACCGCUGGGCGUUCCCCUGGAUUUCUGCCCUCUCCGCGUGAAAGGGUGACCGCUGGGAGUUGGGAUGUCUGUCUCCGUCUCCAUCACCAGGAGGAGGAAGUCCUCACUGGACCGAGCCCUCUCUGAGCUGGUCUUAUUCCUCUCGGCAUAGUGAGAAGUUCCUCUCGUAGGUCUCCACAGGGUAGGCUUUCCGUACAGAAGGCUCUCUGUCAUCAGCUGGGAGGUAGUUAUCCUGUGCUGCUGCAGGCCUCUUUGGUUGCUUUUUGACCUAGCCCCACCUCCCUCUUUCCCAAAUAGCUAAAAUUAGGUCUUUGACGUUUCCUUGAAAUGUCAGAGUCACCAUAUAGCCCCGCCAUUCCACUCCCAGGAAUAUAGCCAAGAGAACUGAAAACAUAUGUCCACACAAAAAUGUAUACAUAAAUGUUCACAGCAGCAUUAUUCAUAAUAGCCAAAAAGUGGAAACGAUCCAAAUGUCUAUCAACUAAUGAAUGGAGAAAUAAAAUGCUCUGUAUCUACACAGUGGAAUAUUACUUGGUGAUAAAAAGGAAGGAAGUACUGUUCCAUGCUACAACAUCGAUGGACCUUGAUAACAUUAUGCUACGUGACAGAAGGCAGCCACAAAAGAUUACAUAGUGUAAUGAUUUCCUUUACACGAAAGGUCCAGAAUAGUCAAAUCUAUAGGCACGGAAAUUGGAUUAGAGGUUGCCAGGGGCUGGGGGGAGAGGAGGAAUGGGGAGCCACUGCUCAUGGGAAUAGUUUUCUUUUUACAGCAAGGAAAAUGCUGUAAAACUGAUUGUGGUGGUGAUGGCACAACCCUGUGAAUGUAUAAACCCUGGAAGCGUACACUUUGG